rnacentral:tRNA from 1 species
AGAAACUUAGGUUAACAUCCACCAAACCAAGAGCCUUCAAAGCCCUGAAUAUGGGAUAAAAUCCCGUAGUUUCUG